rnacentral:rRNA from 1 species
GAUGAACGCUGGCGGCGUGCUUAACACAUGCAAGUCGAACGAUGAAGCCCAGCUUGCUGGGUGGAUUAGUGGCGAACGGGUGAGUAACACGUGAGUAACCUGCCCUUAACUCUGGGAUAAGCCUGGGAAACUGGGUCUAAUACCGGAUAGAAGCGCCUACGGCAGGGUGGGUGUUGGAAAGAUUUAUCGGUUUUGGAUGGACUCGCGGCCUAUCAGCUUGUUGGUGAGGUAAUGGCUCACCAAGGCGACGACGGGUAGCCGGCCUGAGAGGGUGACCGGCCACACUGGGACUGAGACACGGCCCAGACUCCUACGGGAGGCAGCAGUGGGGAAUAUUGCACAAUGGGCGAAAGCCUGAUGCAGCGACGCCGCGUGAGGGAUGACGGCCUUCGGGUUGUAAACCUCUUUCAGUAGGGAAGAAGCGAAAGUGACGGUACCUGCAGAAGAAGCACCGGCUAACUACGUG